UUUAUAGGAAGUAAAAAUACGACAAGUUUCCGUUGGUGACCAGCGGAGGGAUCUU
rnacentral:rRNA from 1 species